rnacentral:rRNA from 1 species
CCUACGGGAGGCAGCAGUAGGGAAUCUUCCACAAUGGGCGAAAGCCUGAUGGAGCAACGCCGCGUGGGUGAAGAAGGUCUUCGGAUCGUAAAACCCUGUGGUUAGAGAAGAAAGUGAGUGGGAGUAACUGUUCACGUUUCGACGGUAUCUAAUCAGAAAGGCACGGCUAACUACGUGCCAGCAGCCGCGGUAAUACGUAGGUGGCAAGCGUUAUCCGGAUUUAUUGGGCGUAAAGGGAACGCAGGCGGUCUGUUAAGUCUGAUGUGAAAGCCUUCGGCUUAACCGGAGUAGUGCAUUGGAAACUGGGAGACUUGAGUGCAGAAGAGGAGAGUGGAACUCCAUGUGUAGCGGUGUAAUGCGUAGAUAUAUGGAAGAACACCAGUGGCGAAAGCGGCUCUCUGGGCUGUAACUGACGCUGAGGUUCGACAGCGUGGGUAGCAAACAGGAUUAGAUACCCCAGUAGUC